UACGGGGAGCAAGCGUUGUUCGGAUUUACUGGGCGUAAAGGGCGCGUAGGCGGCCACCGCAAGUCGACUGUGAAAUCUCCGGGCUUAACCCGGAAAGGUCAGCCGAUACUGCGGGCUAGAGUGCAGAAGGGGCAACUGGAAUUCUCGGUGUAGCGGUGAAAUGCGUAGAUAUCGAGAGGAACACCUGCGGCGAAGGCGGGUUGCUGGGCUGACACUGACGCUGAGGCGCGAAAGCUAGGGGAGCGAACGGG
rnacentral:rRNA from 1 species